rnacentral:rRNA from 1 species
UGAAAAACUCCGGUGGUAUGGGAUGGACCCGCGUCUGAUUAGGCAGUUGGCGGGGUAACGGCCCACCAAACCGACGAUCAGUAGCCGGCCUGAGAGGGCGACCGGCCACAUUGGGACUGAGACACGGCCCAAACUCCUACGGGAGGCAGCAGUGGGGAAUAUUGCACAAUGGGGGAAACCCUGAUGCAGCGACGCCGCGUGAGCGAAGAAGUAUUUCGGUAUGUAAAGCUCUAUCAGCAGGGAAGAUAAUGACGGUACCUGACUAAGAAGCCCCGGCUAACUACGUGCCAGCAGCCGCGGUAAUACGUAGGGGGCAAGCGUUAUCCGGAUUUACUGGGUGUAAAGGGAGCGUAGACGGCAAGGCAAGUCUGAUGUGAAAACCCAGGGCUUAACCCUGGGACUGCAUUGGAAACUGUCUGGCUCGAGUGCCGGAGAGGUAAGCGGAAUUCCUAGUGUAGCGGUGAAAUGCGUAGAUAUUAGGAAGAACACCAGUGGCGAAGGCGGCUUACUGGACGGUAACUGACGUUGAGGCUCGAAAGCGUGGGGAGCAAACAGGAUUAGAUACCCUGGUAGUCCACGCCGUAAAC